AAGAGCAGAUGUGAGGGAGGUGCCAUGGACGUCUCUGCUGGCCACCCAAAAAAGGAUGCCUGGCACUGCUCUGCUGAGGAGAGGGGUGGCUCAGAGAUGGAGCCUUUGAGCUCUCACUCCCACAUUAAUACCAGUUUUCCCUCUUUGCCCUCAGCAAAUAAUUUCUCUUCUCUUUCCAUAAAGUGAGGUUAAUGACAGCAAUUUCUCUGCUUCACAGGAAGGCUGAGAAUGAAUUAAUAUUUGUCAAAUAAUAUGAGACAUUAAAAACAAUAUUUAUGUGGAAUGAAACUUCAGCAGAGGAAAUGCAGUUUUGAAAUUUUUGGGAUCUCAGGAAUGAAAUAGCUGGACAUGAUGAGUCUAGACUGAGGAACACAAAUGAAUGUCAGAAAUAUUUGUGAGUUCAUGUGAUCUGGAAUGCCUGUGGCUGGUGUGGUGCAAGCACAGGGUUUGAGGAGCAGGGUUCUGGUUUUCUGCAGAGCACAGAAAAGAGUUCUGUCACUGGGGGUUGAGAGGAGACCACAAGGGAACAACAGGGAUCCUAGUGAUGGGCUUCGUGUCCCUUUUUGCACCAGCAUGUUAGCAUUACACGUCAGGAUUCUAACAUAAACAUUCCCAGCAGCUGACAAGCGUCUCCCUUGGAAAGCCUGGCCCAGCAUUUAUCCCUGUGCCAGCACUGAAGUGGAGAAGAUAAAUGAAGAAUUCAUAUUGUUGGACUAGAGGCUGUUCGUCAAUAAUUCCAAGUAGUUCCUGAAUUAGUGUAUUACUAAUUAUCUUUUUUCACCAUAAUUGGGAGGACAAGGGGUUCUGGCAGGCAGUGCAUGAGACAUACAGGAGAAAAUGAUUAAAGCAGUGCCAAAAAUAUCACCAUACUGGAGUCAUGACUCAGAUCCUGACCUUUCAAAUAGCACUGCAGAGAGCCUGAGCUCAUUUGGAUGGGAUCCCAGGGAUCCAGGUGAGAGUGACAGCAUGGUUCAGCAUGGCCAGCUUUGGAGAGAGGGAAGAAACUGGGGAUGUCCUGGAGGGAGACAGAAAACUAAAGGGCAUGAGGAGCUUCAGAUGAAUCUGUUUCUCCUUCUCUGUCUCAGGCCUUCCUGAAGAAAAGGGUAAUUCCACGCUCUUGAGCUUAACUGUUUUACCUGUCAGCACUCCUGAUCACUCCCUGCAAAGAAUGUGCAUUCUCUGGUUAAUGUGAUUAUCAGCAGUAAUUAAUUCCAGCUUCCAGUAAUGAAUUACAGCUUCUUCUUGAUCAGCGUUGUAAAAGCUCUUUAAGCUUGUGUCAAGUCGUGUUUGCUCAGAAGGAGGAGUUAUCCAUCACUCCUAUGGAACUCACGAUUCCUUGUGGAUUGCUGCUACUGCAAGAGACUCAAUUUCAAAGGCAAAGUGCCCGGUGUGAGACUGGCACAGAACUCCAAAGCUGGCUCUGAAGGGACAGUCACAGGAGAGGUUCCAGUGGCUAAGGGCCAAAUGAUGCCAGUGGCUGGAGACCAAAGGAACUGGUAAGAAGAAGACACAUACCUUCAGGUAUAUCCUUUCUGGUUCUGCUGAUUCCUGAACUUCUGCAGUCACAGUUCCAGAGGAUUUAAUACAAAAGUUUUUGAUAGAAAUAGCGUAUUACUAUUGUGGAGAGAAAAAAUCCUGCCUCGACUUUACCCAGCAGUGAAAUGUACAUUGAUGGGCCUUGACUUCACCCUGUGGACCUGUUUCCAUUUAAGCUGAUCAAAAUUCUGCAGAUGAACCAGCCAGAGCUGGCACAGGUAACGUGUUUUGCCGGAUAAUUGCAGCUGGGAGCAGAGGAUGCUGGCUGGCAGGGUUCUGCAGCCAUAUGCUGGCUGGGUGGUUUGUGUGUCGGUUUCUUGCCUGGGUUGUUUAGAAUUCUGCACCAGUAAGUAAAGAAAUGGAAAAUUACUGCCUUGUCUACAGUUACAGAAAUCUAAGUCUCAAAGCAGACCUGGAAAUCUUUGUGCUGCUUGAUCCUAGGGCCAGAGCUCACUCCUCAGUGCUCUUGUUUAGCUCCCGACACUGAGCUUUGGAGGCUCCAAUUAUCUCCAGUACUACAUUUUGGUGGGUCACCCCCUUGAUGUCUGGCUGCUCCAGGGCAGAGGGGCAGCGUGGGGCUGCAUAGGGACCUGCCUGAGCAAUCCCAGCACCCUCCAGUUUUGCACAGCAGGGAGAAAUGCCCCUUUCAUUCUAAACCUGUCCAGCCAUUCCUCUUUGUUGCAGUUCCCUGAAGUUGUCCCCUGGCCAUCCGUGUGUCCCAUGCAGGCAGAGAGGCAGCCAGUCACUCUCUGUCCAUCCUCAAGGCUGCCCUGUGCCCACCCAGCCAGCCCAAGGCUGCCCAUCCCACCCAGAUCAGCCUCUUCCAGAGCUUUUGCAGGGGAAACCAGUGGGAAUUCUCCUAGGGAUCCAAAAGGAGAGGUCCUCUUUAUCCACGGUGCCUCCUUCCACCAAGGGGGUAAUUUCUCUGACAUGUAUGUGUCUGCAUGCUCCAAUAAAUCACAUUUCUCCAGUAUGUAUUAAUCUUUUUGUUUUUUCAGGCUGCUUGGAAGGCAAUUUGGAUGUAAAAUAACCAGGAUUGCCCCUGGAGCCCCUUUCAGGAAGGAUACUGGCCAUCUUUUGUUCCCUUGGUGGAGGGAGAAGAACCUCCUAGAAAGAAAACACUGUACAGAGUGUUCAAGGCUCAGAGGGUUCUGAAGCUGAGAGUUCACCCCAGCAAAGGACAAUGAAAUGGAUGGGUUGAAUUCCCACACAGAUGGGCUGCACCAAACCAAAGGGCAGACUUUGAUGGCCCAAGCCAGGGCCAGGCUGGAGCACUCAGAGCUGGUAGGACAGCACAGCUCUAAAGCCAGUGCUAAUGUAUGCCAGCCAGAACAGCAUGGGAGGAUAAUGAAACAGCUCUUUGGAUGCACAAGAAUCUCACAGCCACAGUGAAAAUGGCUUCAGGAGGACUAAAAAAUAGCAGGAACCUCCCAGAUCAUCUUGCUAUAGCGGUAAUAAACUUCCAGUAUGCCUUUUCUGUAGCCCUCAGGCAAGAAACUCCAGAGAGCAACUGCAAAGUUCAUCCUGGUUCUGCUGAAAGCAACUGGAGCUCUGCCACAGUCAGGACUGGUGCAUCUCUUAGACCUGGGAAUCCAUAAAUACAAAGCUGUGAGCAAAGAACCAGCUCCUUGGAAAUACACACCAAAUAUACAAAUCUUUCCUCCUCUCUUCAUCUGGACUAUUUUUCUACUAUUUGCCAGGAAGAUCUCCAUUAGUCUUUCCAAGAGUCUGUGGCUGACACAGUGCAAAUUGGGAUGCCCAGUUUACUCCAUGACAAAUUACCCCCAAACUAGGAAAAAUUUAACAUUGUACCUGUCAUCAUUGUUUAUAUGCCCUGAUAGAGGUUACAAAUGCCAGGUACCAGGACAGACAUCAGGCUUGCAAACAGCAUUUUAAAAUUAUUAGUUGGAAUUAGGAAAAAAAAUGGAUAAUUUGGAAAAUAUAAGUGUUCUUAUCAUUGGAACACGCAGAAUGACCGUAGCUGUUUCUUGAACUGCACUGGGCUGUUAAACCCCACACUGACAAUGAAAGUGAAUUCUUGACUCCUUGCGUCAGCACGGGACCUUUUUACUCAGAAGCAGAAUUUGGAGUCUGGCAAGAGGCACAUUCUCUAUGUCCUGUGUCCCAUGUCCCUCCCAUGUGUUUCCCAUCCUGUAGCUACUCCCCUGCCUUAGUCCUUGCAUGGCCUGGCCACAGCAUGGACAUGGACAGGGGAAGGAGAUCAUGCAGGUGACUGGAAAUGGACAGGAAAAGAAACUCGCUUUAGAGAUAUAUAUAUAUA